GACGAACGCUGGCGGCGUGCUUAACACAUGCAAGUCGAACGGAAAGGCCCUGCUUGCAGGGUACUCGAGUGGCGAACGGGUGAGUAACACGUGGGUGAUCUGCCCUGCACUUCGGGAUAAGCCUGGUAAACUGGGUCUAAUACCGGAUAGGAGCCAUUUUUAGUGUGAUGGUUGGAAAGUUUUUUUCGGUGUAGGAUGAGCUCGCGGCCUAUCAGCUUGUUGGUUGGGUAAUGGCCUACCAAGGGGGCGACGGGUAGCCGGCCUGUGAGGGUGGACGGCCACACUGGGACUGAGAUACGGCCCAGACUGCUAAGGGAGGCAGAAGUGGGGAAGAUUGCACAAUCGGCGCAAGCCUGAUGCAGAGACGCCGCGUGGGGGAUGACGCCCUUCGGGUUGAAAACUCAUUUCGCUAGGGACGAAGCUUUUUGUGACGGUACCUAGAUAAGAAGCACCGGCUAACUACGUG
rnacentral:rRNA from 1 species